rnacentral:rRNA from 1 species
UACGAAGGGGGCUAGCGUUGUUCGGAAUCACUGGGCGUAAAGCGCACGCAGGCGGAUCGUUAAGUCAGGGGUGAAAUCCCGAGGCUCAACCUCGGAACUGCCUUUGAUACUGGCGAUCUUUGAGUCCGGGAGAGGUGAGUGGAACUCCGAGUGUAGAGGUGAAAUUCGUAGAUAUUCGGAAGAACACCAGUGGCGAAGGCGGCUCACUGGACUGGUAUUGACGCUGAGGUGCGAAAGCGUGGGGAGCAAACAGG